AUGCACACACUCACUGUCAUGCACACACAUGUGUGCACACACACCACCCAGACACAGCCCUCCACAACACAGGGACCCACACAUACACACACUCAUGCACACACACAGUACCCAGACACAGCCCUCCACAACACAGGGACACACACAUACACACACUCAUGCACACACGCACCACCCAGACACAGUCCUCCACAACACAGGGACCCACACAUACACACUCAUGCACACACGCGUGUGCACACACACCAAGCAGACACGGUCCUACACAACUCAGGGACCCACACACGCACACAUUCUCAUGCAUACACGGGUGCACACAGCCUGCCCAGACACAGCCCUCCACAACACAGGGACCCACCCACGCACACACUCACUCUCAUGCACACACGCGUGUCCACACACACCACCCAGACACAGCCCUCCACAACACAGGGACCCACACACGCACACACUAAGGAAAUCUGGAAACACCACGUGACCUCCGGUGGCAAGGCCACGACUGGAAGCCUGGCGGCCUCUCCGGGUUCCAGGUCCCGAUGCCAAGGCCGCCCCUCCCUUAACUCACAAGGAGGUCACCACCCCCGCUCCACAGCAGCCCGGAGGCCAGCGCCGAGGUCCCCGCGCGUGCGCCUGUGUCCCCGGCUCCGGGGAAGGCAGCCCUACCUUAGGGGGCUGGGAGCCUGCGCGCCGCCCCGUGGCUCCUGGCGGCGUCGGGAUGUGGCAGCAGCCGGGGCUUCCUCUCGCAGCGGCCGCCGUCCCGGAGGCCGGCAGCGCCCCCUGGCGGGCCCGGGCAGGAGGCGUCCGACGAGGAGGGCGCCAGGGAGGCGGGCGCGGGACGGUGCAGCCGGAGGCCUGUCCCUGCAGGUGCAGGUGGGACCUGCCGCUCCCCUGCGCACCCACGGUGACAACCCCUCCCAGAGCCCUGCCGCCCGCGGAGCCUCCCCCAGUGACCUGUGCGGUCCCCAACGGAGAGGCGGGAAGCGAGCCCUGGAGAAGCCUGGCGACGCGGGCAAAGCCACCUAG
rnacentral:lncRNA from 1 species